CCCUUAGAUGUUCUGGGCCGCACGCGUGCCACACUGAGUGGAUCAGCGGGUCAGGUUACGCGAGAGCGUUUCCUAAUCUUCAAAUCCGCUCGUGAUGGGGAUUGACGGUUGCAAUUUUCCGUCAUGAACGAGGAAUACCUUGUAAGCGCGGGUCAUCAUCCCGCGCUGAAUACGUCCCUGCCCUUUGUACACACCGCCCGUCGCUCCUACCGAUUGAGUGGUCCGGUGAGGCUUUGGGAUCUAAGCGAAAAGAGCGUUUCGCUCCUUUUGCUGGGAGAACUCAGUCGAACCUUAUCAUUUAGAGGAAGGAGAAGUCGUAACA
rnacentral:rRNA from 1 species